UACGUAGGCAGCGAGCGUUGCUCGGAGUUACUGGGCGUAAAGAGUGCGUAGGCGGUUUUCUAAGUUUGGUGUGAAAUCUCCCGGCUCAACUGGGAGGGUGCGCCGAAGACUGGAAGGCUUGAGUAUGGGAGAGGUAAGCGGAAUUCCUGGUGUAGCGGUGAAAUGCGUAGAUAUCAGGAGGAACACCUGCGGUGUAGACGGCUUACUGGACCAUAACUGACGCUGAGGCACGAAAGCGUGGGGAGCAAACAGG
rnacentral:rRNA from 1 species